UGAGAUGGUCAGACAAUCGCGCUUUUAGCUAGACUAAUUGUGAGGAAAGUCCGGGCUCCAAUGGGCAGGGUGCCAGAUAACUUCUGGGAGGCGCGAGCCUACGGCAAGUGCAACAGAAAAUACACCGCCUGACUAUUUUCGAAUAGUUCGGUAAGGUUGAAAUGGUGCGGUAAGAGCGCACCGCGCGGCUGGUAACAGGCGUGGCAAGGUAAACCCCACCUGGAGCAAGACCAAAUAGAAGAGCAGUUUGCUUAGGCAAACAGGUACGGCCCGUAUCGUUCUUGGGUAGGUUGCUUGAGGCAAGUAGUGAUGCUUGUCCCAGAUGAAUGAUUGUCCUCGACAGAACCCGGCUUAUCGACCAUCUCAACUU
rnacentral:RNase_P_RNA from 1 species